rnacentral:lncRNA from 1 species
UUCGGGACCGAACUCGCCGCAGCCUCCCUCUUUGUGCUGGAUCGCAACGCUCCUUUCCCUGCUGCCUUUCCACAUGCAUUCCUUCCAGAAAGGCCCCACACGCCUGUGUCUGCCGUGGCCCCAGAUCCUCCCCGCACCGCCGUUUCGAGCGUUUACGCUCAUUACCCAGGUCCGUCUGGGAGACCCGCCGGGCUCCUGCCCUCCUGGCCAAAAUCCUCCCGGGACACCCCACCCGGACUGCUGUGAACGGGCCUCCACCCGCCUCCCCGGACCCGCAGCACCCCCCGCUCCCUCAGGGUUCUGGGGUGAAGGGGUCUGAAUAGCACCAGGGGAGGCGGCAGGGCGGGCCUGUCCUACCUGCGCCCGAGCACUGCUGAGACAACAUCCCUUCCAGCGCCGCCACGUAGUCCAGCCCCAGCCAGUCGCGGUAGGAGGUUUUCUCUCCGACAGGCACCGCCCGGACGGUGGCAUCCUUGAAAAGCAGGUCUUGGCCAUGAUAGUUGGAGGAGUCGAACAUUUUGAACCCGUUCUUAUUGUGGUCGUCUCCAAACAGGUCCUGGAAGCACCGCAAGCAGACGACCUGCUUCUCACUGGGCUCAGGCAGGGUCACCCGCCCAGUGCCGCUAGCUGCAAAUUGCUUUACAUACAGUGACCCAAAGAGCAAGUAAUUUCAGGGCCCCACCACUCUGAUUGGAAGUCAUAAGCUUGACAACUGAUUGGCCUCUGUCACCCAAGCGGGUGUGGGGACACUAGGCCCGCAGGUGCCACUGGAAGAGGCGUUCGGAAGCACUGCGAUGCUCCAGCUCCUGGAUGCAGAUAUCUCCCCACAAACCUAAACAAUUUCGAGAGGGACUUGUGUUCUGCAACCAGUCACAGAAUAUCAGGUGAGCUGGGCGUGUCUUCACCGACCCACCCGCCCAGGGACGCUGCACUCCUCUCCACCCUGCUCAGAAUCACUAGAAUGACCGUUCUGUGGCUGCAGCCCUAAAAGAGCUACUAAAAAGACCAGAAGUGGUAUGAGAACUUACAAAUACAAAUAUAAAUAAAGGACAU